rnacentral:rRNA from 1 species
CAAGUCUUGACAUCCUCUUGAACACAGGGUAAUGUCUGUGGGCCUUCGGGACAAGAGAGACAGGUGGUGCAUGGUUGUCGUCAGCUCGUGUCGUGAGAUGUUGGGUUAAGUCCCGCAACGAGCGCAACCCCUAUCUUUAGUAGCCAGCGAGCAAAGUCGGGCACUCUAGAGAGACUGCCGGGGAUAACCCGGAGGAAGGUGGGGAUGACGUCAAAUCAUCAUGCCCCUUAUGAUUUGGGCUACACACGUGCUACAAUGGCGUAAACAGAGGGAAGCGAGCCUGCGAGGGGGAGCAAAUCCCAAAAAUAACGUCCCAGUUCGGAUUGUAGUCUGCAACCCGACUACAUGAAGCUGGAAUCGCUAGUAAUCGCGGAUCAGAAUGCCGCGGUGAAUACGUUCCC